AUGCUUCUAAUGUCGGGUCUUCCUUCAGUUGGAGAUCCAUACGAGGAAUAUGUUCCUUCUAUAGAUGACCUAGAACCUUCAAAGCUUAUGUUCCCAAAUUUCUUAUCUGGUCUUUUAGAAGAAUUCUACCGGCUCAGCCGCGAAAAUGGGAGUGUGACUUUUCAAGUUUGGUGUGACCAUUUCCAUAACAAACGCGAACGCACUUCGUCUUUCACCUCCCUUCGGGAACAACACAUGUAUAUUGCGGCUUUUAUAGCCAACUGGCUUUGCUCUUAUGUGGUUGUUGGUGGGGGGCCUUAUAUUCGUCCCGGUGUCCUUCUUAUGGCCUCUUGGAUCGUCUCGGGUCGCAAGAUCUCUUUGGCCCCCUCAGCACUUUGUUCAUUGUAUUAUUCUCUUCGAAGGAUCACUAUGCACCCCAUUGCUCCCUCCUAUGAGAAAAUAAUUUGGCCAGUGCAUUAUAUCGCGGGGUGGAUGGGUCUUUAUCUGAGAAAACCAUUUAAGGACAAAGUGAAAGGGAAACAUCUUCCAGAUGUUAAGAAACUGCCGAUGCAUCCAACCAUGGUUAAAACUAUGUUUCGGGUUCCCAUAACUUUCAGUCCUGCUAAGGCACGCAUUUUCCUUGAUGACCGAGCCAAUAUUUUUUGGAAUCCUUAUGCUCCAAAGAACUUAGUCGGGAUGGAUCAGUUGCAAAGGUCCUUCACCAUUUCUUCACAUCGGGGUAUGCUUCCAUGGAGGCGUGCUACUGAUGUUGAUGAUCUUUGCAUAGCGGAGCCAUAUCAUCCUGAUCGAGUUGCACGACAACUUACUUUGAGACAACAAGUGCCCUAUGCUCCGCUGGUCAGUGUGUACACAAAGGCGGAUAUUGGAGUUGCAUAUGCGUAUUGGUCGCAUUUGUUACGCUCGGACCAAGGGGAGUUCCAGUACCUUCUUAACGAUGCGCAUGAGGCAUUUUCUUCUGUGGCCUGGAACAAAUGGUGGGUGGGAUUUAUGAGACCAUUUAACAACAUAUUCAAUACUCUUCGUUCGGGCAUCUCGAAUGGUCCGAAUUAUAAUCCGCAGAAAUGUAAUUUUCUGAAACGCAGGGAGGAGUACAUAGUUCCUCGCAAGCUUUCAGAGAAUGAUUUUGUUGUUAUAAAGGAAGUCUCCACCAGGGGUAAGGAGGAACAUAUUGCAGCCAUCAAAUUGAAUGGAAAGAGAAUUAUGGACCACUGGCAUCCCAUUCUGUGUGGCUUUCUCUCAAAUGAUGAACCUUUAAUCAACUCUAAAAAGAAGAAGCGAAAGGUUAAGGAUGUUGUUGCUACUCAACCCAUGAAAUCUAGAGAGNNNNNNNNNNNNNNNGUACCAAAGUAUGUUGUUGCAGUUGGUUCUUCCUCUGCUCAUCCAUUGCUAGUGUGUAGUGAUUAUCUUCCGGAAACUGCCCUGGCCACCGGCGGACAAAAGCGUAGAAAUUUAUCGCCCACUCAUGCUGACGAGGAAGAGAGGCUCCCCUUCAAGCGCAAACUUGAUUUUUCCCAAGAAAAUGAUUUUUCUGAACCAAUAACCUUGGACUGUCCGUCAAUAGAUGUUGAACUUAGUAGCUUUGUUAGUGAUGAAGAUUUUGGCCAUGUUCUCACGGGAGAAAAGGACAAUGGCCUUGGUGACCUUUUCGAUUUAUCCGUCGAGGAUAAUACCUUUGGCGAGUGUGGCACAAGUCGUCCACCUUCCAGCCCGGGUUGUGACCAAGAAAUUCGCCACUCACAAGACCCUGAGGUGAUGGUUGUAUCAGGGAAAGGCGCAAAGAUGGUGCAGUUUCAUCAAGGACACGUUUAUGGAUGCUACGGAUUUCAUAGUGAAACGAGCCCUCGAAGGACUGAACGACUCUACCCUUGGUGA
rnacentral:rRNA from 1 species